rnacentral:rRNA from 1 species
UGGGGAAUAUUGGACAAUGGGCGAAAGCCUGAUCCAGCCAUGCCGCGUGAGUGAUGAAGGCCUUAGGGUUGUAAAGCUCUUUUACCCGGGAAGAUAAUGACUGUACCGGGAGAAUAAGCCCCGGCUAACUUCGUGCCAGCAGCCGCGGUAAUACGAAGGGGGCUAGCGUUGCUCGGAAUCACUGGGCGUAAAGGGCGCGUAGGCGGCCGAUCAAGUCAGAGGUGAAAGCCCAGGGCUCAACCCUGGAAUUGCCUUUGAUACUGUUCGGCUCGAGACCGGAAGAGGUUAGUGGAACUGCGAGUGUAGAGGUGAAAUUCGUAGAUAUUCGCAAGAACACCAGUGGCGAAGGCGGCUAACUGGUCCGGUUCUGACGCUGAGGCGCGAAAGCGUGGGGAGCAAACAGG